ACGAACGCUGGCGGCGUGCUUCACACAUGCAAGUCGAACGGAAAGGCCCUGCUUUUGUGGGGUGCUCGAGUGGCGAACGGGUGAGUAACACGUGAGUAACCUGCCCUUGACUUUGGGAUAACUUCAGGAAACUGGGGCUAAUACCGGAUAGGAGCUCCUGCUGCAUGGUGGGGGUUGGAAAGUUUCGGCGGUUGGGGAUGGACUCGCGGCUUAUCAGCUUGUUGGUGGGGUAGUGGCUUACCAAGGCUUUGACGGGUAGCCGGCCUGAGAGGGUGACCGGCCACAUUGGGACUGAGAUACGGCCCAGACUCCUACGGGAGGCAGCAGUGGGGAAUAUUGCACAAUGGGCGGGAGCCUGAUGCAGCAACGCCGCGUGCGGGAUGACGGCCUUCGGGUUGUAAACCGCUUUCGCCUGUGACGAAGCGUGAGUGACGGUAAUGGGUAAAGAAGCACCGGCUAACUACGUG
rnacentral:rRNA from 1 species